rnacentral:rRNA from 1 species
GGAAUCUUCCGCAAUGGGCGCAAGCCUGACGGAGCAACGCCGCGUGAGUGAGGAAGUUCUUCGGAACGUAAAGCUCUGUUGUUCCUGACGAACCUCCCUUCUAUCAACAACGGAGGGGACUGACGGUAGGGAACGAGGAAGCCACGGCUAACUACGUGCCAGCAGCCGCGGUAAUACGUAGGUGGCAAGCGUUAUCCGGAUUUAUUGGGCGUAAAGCGAGCGCAGGCGGUUUUUUAAGUCUGAUGUGAAAGCCUUCGGCUUAACCGAAGAAGUGCAUCGGAAACUGGGAAACUUGAGUGCAGAAGAGGACAGUGGAACUCCAUGUGUAGCGGUGAAAUGCGUAGAUAUAUGGAAGAACACCAGUGGCGAAGGCGGCUGUCUGGUCUGUAACUGACGCUGAGGCUCGAAAGCAUGGGUAGCGAACA